rnacentral:sRNA from 1 species
UGACCGUACCCGGAAUUUAUAACGGGUAUCACAGGCCGGACGGACAGCCGGGUCAAAUGCCGA